UACGUAGGGUGCGAGCGUUGUCCGGAAUUACUGGGCGUAAAGAGCUCGUAGGUGGUUUGUCGCGUUGUCCGUGAAAACUCACAACUCAAUUGUGGGCGUGCGGGCGAUACGGGCAGACUGGAGUACUGCAGGGGGAGACUGGAAUUCCUGGUGUAGCGGUGGAAUGCGCAGAUAUCAGGAGGAACACCGGUGGCGAAGGCGGGUCUCUGGGCAGUAACUGACGCUGAGGAGCGAAAGCGUGGGGAGCGGACAGG
rnacentral:rRNA from 1 species